rnacentral:lncRNA from 1 species
CAGACCCCUUAGAUAGGAAUUUGCACAAGCUGAAAAGAUCAGAGCUUAGCCCACACAAAGUAGAUGAAUAGGAGAAAAGGCAUACUAAUUUAUUAACAUGUCCAUGAGAGAGAAUGACAGAGGGAGCACUCCAACCCCACAAAGAGCUGUAGCAGUUCAUAUACCAUCUUGAGGUUACAGAAAGAUUUGGGGCUUGGAUCCUGGCAAAACAGGCUAUGGGAAAGGGAGAAGAGGAGGCCUGGCUGGCAAAGGUGGUCUUGUUAUGUAGAUGAAACCUCACAGAUAGCAGUCCUCGGAGGAAAAAGAUGGUAAAUGUUUCUUUCAGAGUUUUAGGGUGUCAGAAUCUCAGUUCCUCUUUCCUAGAUCUGGACAAGGGAGGGCCUGGGAGAAAACCAGGCUGCAGCAAUGCAGAUUUUCUACAGAUGCAAAUCUCCCCCACAAAAGACCGCUUUUGCCGGGCGCGGUGGCUCAAGCCUAUCUGUAAUCCCAGCACUUUGAGAGGCCGAGG